CCGUGUGUUCACCACUCAGCAUCCCCACGGCAUGCCGCGCCGUCGGAGGGGUUCAGUGUGAGCUCCUGUCGCCGGGCACGCACCGUCCUCAGUGGCCUUGUGGGUCGUCCUGGGCUAAGGGCUCUCCCCACUCCUGUCCCCGCACAGAACAUCCCUGUGCCCUCUCCUCCCACAGCACUUUCCGCUGACAUUCUCGCUUUCUGACGGGAUUCUGUAGCUGCUCGCUGUCCCCUUUGUAAAGGGAGUGGCGUCUCGGCAGCCGGGGCAAGUGUCCGGGCCCUGUCACGGGGUCCGCGCACGCUCGUGGGUCCCGUCUGACCAGCGUAACCGUCCCCGGGACUCUGGACUGCCAAGGGUGGGGACGGUGACGGCGGCCUCCCGGUGUGUGUCUCAAGAAGGGAAGCUUCGCCGCAAAGCUGUCAGGGGAGCGGCCACUGCCACACAGGGUGGACCUUCGCCGGGAGUGGCCUGUCCUGCACUUGGUGCUUGUGUCUUACUACGAUUUUAGAACGUUUGCCGGUUGCUAAAAAGCCUGUUCUUCAUGUCACCGACUGAACACCCUGUUGUGUGGCAGCGUUUUCCAGUCAGCGGUUUCUGUCUGUCCAUGAAAUGGGCUGUUUUAGCAUAGAAAGAACGUACUUGGCGGUGCUGGGACCGUUUCGGACGUAACUAAUGUCUCUCCGGAUGCGGAGUUAACAGAUCCCCACCCAGACGUGGCCUGGGCGCCGCUGUUUCCCACGGGUGUAGACGCCCUCACGGCGGGACUCGCCACGGCGUGUUUGCGGGACGUGGUAACGCGGUCACACUGGGGCUGGAGAGUGCGCUGGAGGUCACAGCUGGCGUCAGGUCACGGGCAGAGUGUCCGUGGCCCGCAGGCGACCCGUUGCAUCUCCCUAGGGCGUGGCUUUCCGCGGAGAGUGUUGGGUGUCGCGGCCGAGGCCCGGCGGACCCACCAGGAGCUUGGCGAGGUUCUUCGGGGUCGCGCGUCCGGUGUUGGCGCCGCGCUCCUUCCGCCCCGCCUCCUGUCACGGGUGCCCCUGUCGCAGCGACACGCGGGUCAGCGAGCCUCGUCACAGGCUGUGUCUUACGCUGUGUCUUUGUUGCGGUACUCAGUUGGGGUUUCGUAACGGUUGGUACCCAUGCUGGACUGUGACCAAGAAAAGAUGGUUUAUGUUUCUCCGGGCUUGUGGACUCAAGUUCUGCAGUUUUGUACUUAACCGACUGACCUGUGGGCUUCCUGUCCACAGGGAUGCACGUUACGUGCUCUAAGCCGCCGUUCCCUCUCAGAGCCAGGCCCUCUGUGGGUCAGCUGUCCUUCUGUCCAACCGUGGGACACGUUCACUCAGACCUGUGACCCUGGCCUUGUGCUGGAUUACCUGCCCCUCCCACUGGAGCUGCUGGUUUGCUUAAUUCCUAGGUGGAGGUCAUGGCCCCUGGUUGUGCUUCUUGUCCUUUGUUACAUUUAAAGUAGCUUUUUUUUUUUUUUUUAAGUUUUAUUUAUUUGAGAGAGCGAGCGAGGUCCGCUUUUGAACUGUUGAGACCCUGGGGUCCUGAGUAGGAAGCUGCCCUGCCCCCCGCCCUGCCUGGGGCGUGGGACUUUGUGCCGGUGCCCGUGUCUGUGGUAACCCCAGGAGCACGUCGUACCCUCGCCGUGAAGACACCGUGGGCCGCAUACGCGUUCUGGGAUGGGUCUGCCGCCUCCCGCCAUGACCGCUGGGAUCCAGGUGUGUUCUGGGAUGGGUCUGCCGCUGCCCGCCGUGACCGCUGGGAUCCAGGCACAUGCGGAGGCAGGACGCUGCUCCCAGACUGAAUGAGCCAACCAGCCCCGAUGGCGGUUCUUUUUUCUGGACAUCCUGGUGCUGCCAGAGCCCGGCACUGUGCCUUUUGUUGCCAAGACCUGGGGCCCCAGUUCUCUGCCGUGUCACACCGGCGACCAUGCAGCAGCCCCCUGACUUGCCGAAUUAGCAUCCAGAGUCUGUGUGUUAGCUAAUUCGGACAGAUCAUGAUGUCCCCGGUCUCCGAGUGAGGCACAGGGUCCAGGCCCAGAGCCAAAAUGGAUCUGCUUCUGUUAGGUCAGAAUGAAAGAAACUUGGGGAAGUGAAAUGAUUCUCUUCGGUUGUGUGCUUUGGCAGCGUGCUCUUCUCCGUACGUGCGCUGGUCAGCAGGCAUUCCUCCCACAGCUGGAGUGGACAGGGUCCCUGAACCCUUACAAGUUACAGGCGUGGAUUUAGUGGUCGAGCUUCUAGAAGGAGACUCGUGGUCACGGUGUCUGUUCUGCAGUGUCUGCUCUCGCAGGACGUGGGUGCUGGAGGGGAGGAGUGUCGUCCCGCGUGAGGCCUGGCCACGGCUCUGGGCGAACUGUCCCCACCCUCAGGAAUGAAGGCCCCACUUUUGUGCUUCUCGUAAGCGCACCCAAGUCCAGUUGUGAGGGUAGCUGAUGCUCGAAGCUAAAUUCUAAAUGAAAGGAGGGCUUCCUGCAUGUCGUCAUUUCCAAGAUGCUUUGUCAUAGAUUCAGCAGGACUGAGUAAAUGUUUAGUUCCUAGUAAUCACCAGUAUUCAUCAUCAGCAAGAUUUUU